AGUGAACGCUGGCGGUAGGCCUAACACAUGCAAGUCGAACGGCAGCACAGGAGAGCUUGCUCUCUGGGUGGCGAGUGGCGGACGGGUGAGGAAUACAUCGGAAUCUACUCUGUCGUGGGGGAUAACGUAGGGAAACUUACGCUAAUACCGCAUACGACCUACGGGUGAAAGCAGGGGACCUUCGGGCCUUGCGCGAUUGAAUGAGCCGAUGUCGGAGUAGCUAGUUGGCGGGGUAAAGGCCCACCAAGGCGACGAUCCGUAGCUGGUCUGAGAGGGAGAUCAGCCCCACUAGAACUGAGAAACGGUCCAGACUCCUACGGGAGGCAGCAGUGGGGAAUAUUGGACAAUGGGCGCAAGCCUGAUCCAGCCAUACCGCGUGGGUGAAGAAGGCCUUCGGGUUGUAAAGCCCUUUUGUUGGGAAAGAAAUCCAGCUGGCUAAUACCCGGUUGGGAUGACGGUACCCAAAGAAUAAGCACCGGCUAACUUCGUGCCAGCCGCCGCCGUAA
rnacentral:rRNA from 1 species